rnacentral:misc_RNA from 1 species
AGUCUGGUGGAAUGGAUCAGGCCAUCUCUGUUAUGGCAAAAUCUGGGUUUGCUGAGCUGAUUGACUUCAAUCCUAUACGUGCAACUGAUGUACAACUGCCUGAUGGUGGCACUUUUGUGAUAGCCCAUUCAUUAGCUGAAUCACAAAAAGCAGUUACUGCUGCAGUUAACUAUAAUAAUCGGGUUGUUGAAUGCCGACUAGCUGCUAUUGUACUGGGCAUUAAGCUGGGGAUGGAACCUAAGGAGGCGAUAUCUAGUGUAAAAACUCUUUCUGAUGUUGAAGGGUUGUGCGUAUCAUUUGCUGGUACACACAGUUCUUCUGAUCCUGUCCUUGCUGUCAAGGAGCUAUUGCAUGAGGAACCAUAUACCAGCGAAGAUGUUGAGAAUAUCACCAAGGAAAAGGUGGAAACAAUCUUUGCGGCCUCACCAACUUCUUUGGAUGUGCUUCGUGCUGCUAAAUGUUACAAGUUGCAUCAGAGAGCUGCCCAUGUAUAUUCUGAAGCCAAACGUGUGCACGCUUUUAAAGACACCGUGUCGUCAGAAUUAAGUGAUGAAGACAUGUUGAAGAAGUUAGGUGACCUUAUGAACGACAGUCACCAUAGCUGCAGCGUCCUUUAUGAGUGCAGUUGUCCAGAAUUAGAAGAACUUGUGAAGAUUUGUCGAGAUAAUGGUGCUCUUGGAGCUAGGCUUACAGGAGCCGGAUGGGGUGGUUGUGCAGUGGCUUUGGUGAAAGAGAGUCUUGUUCCACAAUUUAUACUCAAUUUGAAGGAGCAAUUUUAUCAAUCAAGAAUUGACAAAGGAACCAUCAGUAAGAAUGAUCUUGGCUUGUUCAUUUUUGCAUCCAAGCCUUCAAGCGGUGCUGCUAUUUUAAAAUUUUAGGUCUUGUUAUCCUAGUUAACUUUUAUUACCUUCAGCAUUUUCAGUCCAAAAAUAA